CCCCGCCCCCAACCAAGUCACAGGAGAAUUACAACAUCUCAAGAAAUCUUAUACCUAUAUAAGGAACCUUGAAAAAUCUUAAAAGAAUCAUAAAAUAAGAAAAUUUAAGAUCAAAAGGUCAGGGUCCAAAUUUACUUGUUAAUGUUUUCCCUAUAUGAGGUGAUGAUACAUAAGAUGGUCUGAAAUUACCUCAACGAUGAUUACUAUGCAUAUAUUUAAAUUUCUAAAUUUUUGAUUUAUGGCAAAAUUUUGUAAAUGACAGGCUCAUAUUACAACAUAGAAAAUUCUGAUCUUUAUGUUAAAAUAAUAUGUUUUAUGUGCUAUAGAUUGACAUCAUCCUACUUGAAAUGCAUGUCACAAUUGUACACUCAAAUACCCAAAGCAGAUUGGUUAACAUGCAACCUUUGUUUAAUUACUGAUCAAGUAAAGUUUUGACUUAUAACCUGUGACUUUCCUUCCUUUGGUUUGCAUGUUCCAUACAUAUUCAAAGAAACUCAUGGUGAUGAAAGUACUCAACAAUAGACAAAGUAUGGCAUAAAGCCAUUAAAAUACCAGGAAAAGAUAAUCUCCAGCAUUAACAUCAGACAACUGGCAGUUCAAAAAACAACGCGGAUGAUGAACAAAGCAUUACUUAUAAACCGAUGUAAUGCGAAUAAGGACAGAUCCACUGACACCAUCAGGACAACACGUUUCUAACCCUUGCGCCAGGAAGAAACCUGACAGUUGAAGACUGACAAGGCUCCAUGCAAGUGGCAGAGCUAUCUACUGGAAGAAAUGUGAAGCCUGGAUUAUAUUCUUCAAUCUUCCAUUUUGCAAAAAGGGGGCAACAAUGACACAUAUAGCCUAUUUUAUAUUUGAGCAUGUUAGAAGAAUUAAUCUAGAAUGUCUUGAAAAUAUGUUAAAGCCCUCUGAUACUAGAAUUCCAUGAAAAUAAAGUGUUGUUCAUAUAAUUUAA